rnacentral:tRNA from 1 species
UGGCUCAGUCAGUAGAGCAUGAGACUCUUGAUCUCCAAGUCAUGAGUUCGAGCCUCAC